CGGGUUAGCAAUAAUUCGGCGGUCCUAGUGGCGUACGGGUGAGUAACACGUGGGCAACUUGCCCUUGAGGCCGGGAUACCCUCUCGAAAGGGAGGCUAAUACUGGAUACGUUCUUCGGGUCGCAAGAUCUGGGGAGGAAAGGUGGCGCAAGCUACCGCUCUUGGAGAGGCUCGCGGCCUAUCAGCUAGUUGGUGAGGUAAUGGCUCACCAAGGCUAUGACGGGUAGCUGGUCUGAGAGGACGACCAGCCACACGGGAACUGAGACACGGUCCCGACUCCUACGGGAGGCAGCAGUGGGGAAUUUUCCGCAAUGGGCGAAAGCCUGACGGAGUGACGCCGCGUGGGGGACGAAGGCCUUCGGGUCGUAAACCCCUGUCAGAGGGAAAGAAGGGUGUCGGCGUGAUAACCGCCGGCACUUGACGGUACCUUCAGAGGAAGCCCCGGCCAACUCUGUGCCAGCAACCGCGGUAAGACAGAGGGGGCAAGCGUUGCUCGGAAUCACUGGGCGUAAAGGGCGCGUAGGCGGGAUGGCAAGUCGGUCGUGAAAUCUCUCGGCUCAACCGAGAAACGUCGGCCGAUACUGCCGUUCUUGAGGGAUGCAGAGGAGACUGGAAUUCCCGGUGUAGCGGUGAAAUGUGUAGAGAUCGGGAGGAACACCGGUGGCGAAGGCGGGUCUCUGGGCAUUUCCUGACGCUGAGGCGCGAAAGCGUGGGGAGCAAACGGGAUUAGAUACCCCGGUAGUCCACGCUGUAAACGAUGACGACUAGGUGUGGGGGGGGUUAGUCCCUUCC
rnacentral:rRNA from 1 species